rnacentral:lncRNA from 1 species
AUGGAAGCGGGGGGACGGGGCGGGGGCGGGGGCACCGGGGCAGGGGGAGGGGAAAGGAGGGGGGCGGGAACGUCCUGCCGUUACUGCUGUGGCUUCCGGGGCGGGACUUCGGAAGACCGCCCGCCUCCCAAUUGCAAAUCGACUUCCGGGGCACCCCCACCGGCCGCAACGUGGGUUCUCUGCUCCGACUUCUGUCGCUUUUCCCUUCCCGUUUAUCUUGUUCAGGUCCCUCAGUGGGCUGCUCCGGAUCUAAAGAGCAGAAAUUGGGCCGCAAAGAGAACGUCCUCCCAGACUUUCUCCGUCGCGGUGAACUUAUGUCCGUUUGGUGGCAAAAAUGAGACACAUAAGGCGGAAAUUACUGCUUGGUGACACACUGUGGAGCCCCGCCCACAACCAGGAUACUUGGACCCAGGCCACUGAAACCUUAGGCCACAUCUAAGUUCCUUCCUUAAAAAGUAAAUUUAAGAAAAAGGAAAAACAGGAAUGACCCCCUUUCAGGCACUUCGUUGGUUUUAUGGCGCCUCUUCUUGCAAGUGUUUGUGUAAAAUUGACAUACUGUGGUCCUUUUGUGCUCAAUUAUAGCAAGGAAAAUUCAGAUCCCAAAGGUCCACCUGUGAGUAUAAACUUCCUAAGUUCUCUGUGUAUGGCUCUGCUUUCUUUUCUGCCUGCAUUAAGUGUGCUGUUACGUUUCUACUUUCUAGAAUGGAAAUAUUUUGCAUCCCAUGUUUCAUUUUGUUGACUGACUUUAAACCAAUGGGUUGUAUUAAUAUCUCAUGACUAGAGUUCUGAAGUAAAAACUAUAGGAUUUUUGGUUGUGUGGCACGCCAGGUCUCACUAACAGCUGAGCAGGGAGGCCUCCUUAACAACUGUUUCAACACUGACUGACUGGUUAAAUAUUAAAAGCUGAAAGUGCCCUUAUACAAAGGCUGGGAUUUAACAAAAGCCCAGCAAGAGUUUUUCACCCUAGGUCCUCACAGAUUCUUGAACAUGGUGGGUAAAGGGUGCUAAGAGGAUCCACUUUAGAAGUUAAACAAGUUUUAUUGGAG